rnacentral:rRNA from 1 species
CCUACGGGUGGCAGCAGUGGGGAAUAUUGGGCAAUGGGCGCAAGCCUGACCCAGCAACGCCGCGUGAAGGAAGAAGGCUUUCGGGUUGUAAACUUCUUUUGUCAGGGACGAAGCAAGUGACGGUACCUGACGAAUAAGCCACGGCUAACUACGUGCCAGCAGCCGCGGUAAUACGGAGGAUGCGAGCGUUAUCCGGAUUUAUUGGGUUUAAAGGGUGCGCAGGCGGUCUGUUAAGUCAGCGGUCAAAGCCCGGGGCUCAACCCCGGCCCGCCGUUGAAACUGGCAGUCUCGAGUUGGAGAGAAGUAUGCGGAAUGCGCGGUGUAGCGGUGAAAUGCAUAGAUAUCGCGCAGAACUCCGAUUGCGAAGGCAGCAUGCCGGCUCCACACUGACGCUGAGGCACGAAAGCGUGGGUAUCGAACAGGAUUAGAUACCCUAGUAGUC